AACGAAUAAGAGGUCCCGCCUGCCCUGUGACUAUAUGUUUAACGGCCGCGGUAUUUUGACCGUGCGAAGGUAGCGCAAUCACUUGUCUUUUAAAUGGAGACCUGUAUGAAAGGCACCACGAGGGCUUAGCUGUCUCCCCUUUAAAGUCAAUGAAAUUGAUCUCCCCGUGCAGAAGCGGGGAUAUACUCGUAAGACGAGAAGACCCUAUGGAGCUUAAGAUACAAGGCGAGUCGUGUCAAACACCCCCUUAAAGGAAAUGAACGAAGUGAACUCCGCUGGAAUGUCUUCGGUUGGGGCGACCGCGGGGAAAGACAAAACCCCCACAUGGACCAGGGCCACUAUAGCCCUAAAACCCAGACCCACAGGUCGAAUCAACAGUAAAUCUGACCACCAAAGAGCCGGCAAUGCCGAUCGACGGACCAAGUUACCCUAGGGAUAACAGCGCAAUCCCCUCCCAGAGCCCUUAUCGACGAGGGGGUUUACGACCUCGAUGUUGGAUCAGGACAUCCUAAUGGUGCAGCCGCUAUUAAGGGUUCGUUUGUUCAACGAUUAAAGUCCUACGU
rnacentral:rRNA from 1 species